GACGAACGCUGGCGGCGUGCCUAAUACAUGCAAGUCGAACGCAGUUGCGAACGGGUGAGUAACGCGUAGGUAACUGCCUCAUCGCGGGGGAUAACUAUUGGAAACGAUAGCUAAUACCGCAUACUGUGAGAUGGACCUGCGUUGUAUUAGCUAGUUGGUGAGGUAAAUGCUCACCAAGGCGACGAUACAUAGCCGACCUGAGAGGGGGAGAGGGCAAACUGGGAACGGGAAACGGCCCAGAAUUCUACGGGAGGCAGCAGUAGGGAAUCUUCGGCAAUGGACGGAAGUCUGAACGAGGAACGCCGCGGGAGGGAAGAAGGUUUUCGGAUCGUAAAGCUCUGGUGGUAGAGGAGCGGUAACUAACCAGAAAGGGACGGCUAACUACGUGCCAGCAGCCGCGGUAAUAC
rnacentral:rRNA from 1 species